UUUGGUAAAAAAUUUUAUUUAGGUUUGAAAUUUUAGUAAUUGAUUAUAUUAUAUGCUAAUUUAAGUAUUAAAAAAAAUUAAUUUUAAAUAAGUUAAUUAUUUUAUCUAGCAAUAAAUAAGAUUAAAAAUUUAGGAAACUAAGAUUUAGUAAUUAAAUUUAGUAUUGGUCAAAUUUGUGCCAGCAAUCGCGGUUAAACAGAUAAUGCAACUAAAAUUUUAUUGGUUUUAAUUAAUAUUAUUAAUUUAGAUUUAAAGUUUGAUUUAUUAAGUAGAAUUUUUAAAUUAAUAUAAAUCUGUGAUUAGUUUUUAAAAUUAAGAAAUUCAAAUUUUAGACUAGGAUUAGAUACCCUAUUAUUUUGAGUGUUAAAAUUAGAAUGCUUUAUUAGUAGUAGUUAUGUUCUUGAAAAUAAAUAGAUUUGGCGGUUCUUUAGUCCAUUCAGAGGAACCUGUCCUAUAAUUGAUAUACCACGAUUUAAUGUACUUAUUUUAAUUAGUUUAUAUAUCGCCGUUUUAGAAUUUUUUGAAAGAAUUUUAAUAUUUAAGAUUUUAUUUGUAAAAGUAGUUCAGGUCAAGAUGUAGUUUAUAGGUAAGGAGAGAUGGGUUACUUUAAUUUUAUUUAUUGAGCUGUUAUUUUAAAAAUAAUAGUAAAUUGGAUUUGAGGGUAAUAUUAAUUAGUUUAUUAAGAUGAUUUAGGCUCUAGAGUAUGUACAUAUCGCCCGUCACUUUCACUCUAAAGUGGAAUAAGUCGUAACAUAGUAGGUGUACUGGAAAGUGUACCUGGAAUGG